rnacentral:rRNA from 1 species
UACAGAGGUCUCAAGCGUUGUUCGGAAUCACUGGGCAUAAAGGGCGCGUAGGCGGCUUAUCAAGUCAGGGGUGAAAUCCGGCAGCUUAACUGUCGAAGUGCCCUUGAUACUGACGAGCUCGAGGGAGAUAGGGGUGUGUGGAACUUCCGGUGGAGCGGUGAAAUGCGUUGAUAUCGGAAGGAACGCCGGUGGCGAAAGCGACACACUGGAUCUCUUCUGACGCUGAGGCGCGAAAGCCAGGGGAGCAAACGGG